GAAGGGUUUGUCUAGCACAGUAAUAGAGGGCCGUGUCCUCCACUCUCAGGCUGUUCAUCUGCAGGUAAAGUGUGUUCUUGCUGUUGUCUCUGGAGGUG